rnacentral:rRNA from 1 species
AUACGUAGGGUGCAAGCGUUAAUCGGAAUUACUGGGCGUAAAGCGUGCGCAGGCGGUUUUGUAAGACAGAGGUGAAAUCCCCGGGCUCAACCUGGGAACUGCCAUUGUGACUGCAAGGCUGGAGUGCGGCAGAGGGGGAUGGAAUUCCGCGUGUAGCCGUGAAAUGCGUAGAUAUGCGGAGGAACACCGAUGGCGAAGGCAAUCCCCUGGGCCUGCACUGACGCUCAUGCACGAAAGCGUGGGGAGCAAACAGGAUUAGAUACCCUGGUAGUCCACGCCCUAAACGAUGUCAACUGGUUGUUGGGGAUUUAUUUUCUCAGUAACGAAGCUAACGCGUGAAGUUGACCGCCUGGGGAGUACGGCCGCAAGGUUAAAACUCAAAGGAAUUGACGGGG